rnacentral:lncRNA from 1 species
UCCCCCGUGCUUUUUGCUGUGUAUACUAUGUUGAACUAAAUCACAUGGUAAGAAACCUCCUAGUGAAGAAUGAAAAAUUACUGGCCUCUUGUGAGAACAUGAACUUUCACCUCGGAGCCCACCCCCUCCCAUCUAGAAAACAUGAACUUUCACCUCGGAGCCCACCCCCUCCCAUCUAGAAAACAUUUUUGAGAUAAAGGCCUCCUAGAACAACCUCAAAAUGAA